UAAAAAUUUCCCAUCUCUCAGAGCCCAGGGAGAAAGCAGCAGAGAAGCUGUCAAGUGGAACCAAGAGGCAAGAAGACCGCAAGGCAGGGUGCGCUGCAGCCAAGUUCACCCUUCACUGCGAGCCCUAUAGGGAGAAAGUCACUGUAAGCUACAGUUAAAGCUGUAACAGCUACACCUUGGGGAAUGGCCAGAAGAAACAAGGUCCAGUACUUCAAAAGAAGUUACCCCUUCUAGCUUCAGGUCCAGUCUGACAUGUUUAAGGAGCUGGUGGAAAUAGGAAUGACAGCCGCUUCCCAUCCCAAGUGCCCAAGACUGAUUAUGAUUCAAAUACAUUUUUUUGGAAGUUCUCCCUUCACAAUUUUUUUCCUGUGAACUGGCAAGUGUGGAGAAGGUGCGGAUGUUGGC